UACGUAGGGGGCGAGCGUUGUCCGGAAUGAUUGGGCGUAAAGGGCGCGCAGGCGGCCUGUCAAGUCAGUAGUGGAAUACCAUUUUUCAAGGAUGGAAGUGCUAUAGAAACUGAUGGGCUUGAGUGCAGAAGAGGGAAGUGGAAUUCCAUGUGUAGCGGUGAAAUGCGUAGAGAUAUGGAGGAACACCAGUGGCGAAGGCGGCUUCCUGGUCUGUAACUGACACUGAGGCGCGAAAGCGUGGGGAGCAAACAGGAUUA
rnacentral:rRNA from 1 species